CGGGAAAAUCUCUCUUUAUUUUUCGUGUACGAGUGCUGUGAGGCAGGUUCUUGUCUGUCCUCGAUGUCUGCGUGAACAGGUAAGGGAGCACCCGCCCGCACGCCCACCGAGGAAAGGCGCAACACCGUGGUGGCAGCAGCAACGGUGGCGGUGGUGGUGGUGGUGGUGGUGGCAGCGGGGAAUAGACGCUCGUGGCAGAAAAACACCGCCAGUAUGACUCGGGCAGUGUGAGAGGAAGGGUGCCACGGGUUCUCCCUGGGCGCGACACCCACGCCACGCCACACCACGCCGCGCAGCCCUCAGCCCUCCUCUCCCGAGCGCCGACAUCGCCUCGCAGGCGUUCCAGUGACAACACCGCCACCAGCAGCAAAAGUUCCCACGCGUCUGUGUCGUGUUCUCGUGUUCGUGACAGAGGGAGACAGACGGAGAGAGGAAGGAAAGAAACACGUGAAUCGAAGCACUGCAGAUAGCAUAGAGGAGCGGACGCACAAACAGACAGGGAAAGGAACACUCAAAGGAUAAAGGUGUUCGAGGAAUGGAAGAUGACGUGAAAUGUGAGUGGUUUGUUGAUGCUUCGCGUAGGAAAGUGAGGUGAAAGAGUUUGAUACGUGAACAGUAAAUGGUUGAACGCAUAAGAGGUUGGAAAAAGAAAGGAAAACAAUCUUACUUGCGGCCAUAAAGUGAACUAAUUCAAAUAAAAACCGUUGAUAAAAGGGGACAAAAAGAAUUAAUAACGUUUCUAUAAAUGAGGAUAAAAAAGAAAACGUUAUGUAAACAAUAAACGAUAAAAAUACUGCUAGACUUAGGAAAAGAAGAAGAAGAAAAAAAUCAGUAAUAUACAUCCAUAAAAAAACAUUGAAAAACAAGAAAGUCAAUUAGAGACACGAAAUAUUCCUGAAAAAGUUAACUUACCUACGGUCAUAAAAUACAAUAAAUCAAAUAGGGAACAGUGAAAAAAAUAAAAGAAAAAGAGCAGUUAAUUAGUGACGAGAGCUACUUGUACAGAGGAAAGGUCAGACAGUGGAAGGAAGCACCGCCACCACCACCACCACCACCACCACCACCACUACCACCAACACCACCACCACUACCAGCAAAAGACGAAGCAAAACUCGGCCACUAUUCUGCCUGACGAAGGAUGAGGUUCAGUUCAAGUGCGUGAAAGAAAAAAGUAAAAAAAAAUAUUGAAAAUCUCGUCGAAUUGAUAUAAACGUGAUUCUGGGUAUAGUUUUGGAACGAGUAACUGAAAGGAAAGAAAAAAAAAGAAGGAAGAGGAACAGAGAGAAAAGAAUAACAGUAAAAAGUGAUAAAAAGUAAGGAAAACAAACAACGGAAGGGAACUGGAAGAAAGAAAAAACAGUUAAAAGAGAAAGGAAUUAAUGAAAACAUUCCUAAAAAAGAACAGGAAAAAUGGAGGAACAGUAAACAAAUAAAAAUAAGGAAAACAAAUGAAAAAAUAAAACUGAGAUAAAGGAAGAGCAAUAAAAAGAAAGUAAAGGAAAGAAUCAAUAGAAACGAAAACAUAUAAGAAGGAUUAAGAUAAAUAAAGAGAGGAACUGAGAACGACAUCAGGAACAACAACAACAAUAACAACAACAAACAAGAGAACAAAGAACAUAAAGAAAAACAGCAAGAAAAGAGGGGGACAAACACAACGCUGCAAUAAACAACUUAAAUAAACAAGACUUGCAUUAAAGAGAAAAAGAAGAAAAAAAAAAGAAAUUACGAUGAAUAAAUGAAAAAAAGAAGUUAAAAAAAGAAAGUAACAAAGAGAGACAGACGGACAGACACACAAAACUUACCACCGGAAACGCAAACAUUUAGGGAACAUAUGAAUAAAAAUACUGGCAAAAAGAAUUAACACAUGUAUGAAUAAAGAAUUACGCUGAUAAGACUGUAAUGGAUGAGCGGAAGAAGAAUUAAAUGGAGUGAACACACGAAAAAAAAAGAAACAUUAAAGAGAGAUAGAGUGAGAUAGAUAGCCAGUAAAAAAAAAAAAGAGAGAGAGGGAAAAAGGGUUAACACAGUGCACUGAUACGAAAGACGAAUUGAAAGGGAAAAAAUACAAUAACACACGAAAGAAAGAGAGUAAUAGAGACACAGAGAGACGGAUAGCGAUAGAAAAAGAGGGAGAAAAAAAGGACAACACAGUGGACUAAUACAAAAGACGAAAGAGGAAUUGAGAGAGAGAGAACAAAAAAAUACAUUAACACACCAGGGAAAGAGUAAUAAAGAUAUAGAGAGACGGAUAGCGAGAGAAAAAAAGAGAGAAUAAGAAAGAAAGAAAAAAGACAAUAAUGGACUAAUAUAAAAUACGAAAAGGAACUAAGAGAAAACAAAAAAAAUACAUUAAGCACCAAAGCAAGAGUAAUAGACAGAGAGCAAAAAAAAAAAAAAAGAAAAAAAGAAAAGAAAGAAAAACACUAAUUUAAAUGAAACAAUACAAACGAGAAAGGAGUGAUUGUAAAAUGUGACUGCCAGGUGUUUCACUUCCUGUACUAAUUAAACGCACCUGUGUACCUGACAGCGGCGGGCCAGGUGUACUGUGCCCUGUGGUGUACCUGGGUGUGUCUGGAGCCCUCCCUCCCUUCCCCCUCGCUUCCCCCCACCGCCACCAUAGGGCUGCUUGGUCUAACGGUGUUCUCUCGAUGGACACCAAAAAAACCCUCACUCUCCCUCUCCCUCUCCCGCCCCCCUCCCUCCUCCUCCUCCUCGUCCUCCUCCUCUUCCUCUUCAAGCACAUCCUCCUCCAAAUCCCUCUUCCCUCCAAACAAAGUCCUCCAGCGGUCCAGCUCCUCCACUUCCUUCUCCAACACAUCCUCCUCCUCUUCCUCCUCUUCCACUCUCCUUCAUCCGCUAGAAAUCCACUUCCUGGCUGAUCCAUAUGGCCCUCCUCCAUCCACAUCACCCACGCCACCCACGCCCACCGCAGCAUCCCCUCAGGAAUCUACGCCUGGGGAGCAUCCGCCAUCCACAGCCACCCACACGCCCACAGAGGGAUCGACACGCCCUUCUCUCUUAUGGAAACGUGAAUCUCCUCUCGCUACCUCUCUUCCUCCCACGCCCACGACCCCCGCGCCCCCCAGCAGCCUCCCCAAGAUCCAGGUGUGCGGGCGCGGGGGUGUGGUGGGCGCUGAAUGCUGGAGUGCUGCUGCUGUAUCGGGACCUGCACGCCCGCGGGGUCUGUACCAGCGUGCGGGCGGAGGUGGUGCCGCUGUUUAAAGUACCGGAGCCCCUGCAGCGUGCCAUGGUGCUGGACGGCGAGGAAGUGCCGGAAACAGACGCCCUUCUUCCUGGUAAGAGCCGUGUGUGUGUGUGUGUGUGUGUGUGUGUGUUGAAACAGUGGAGGCAUCACACGCGGGAUAAACACUGUGCUGCUUUUAAUCCCCAAACAACUGGCAGUGUGUUGCUGGACUACUGAGGAUUAAGAGUGUGCCAGGAUUACUUUUGGAGAACAUGUGUGCGUCAUGGCCUGCCUGCGUCCCUCUCUGCUUCCCUGCCCACCCGCCCGCCAGCCUGCUUCAAAGGGGAUCCGGGCCAGCAGGGGAUAGAGGCAAAGAUCAAUAAAUAAGAGAAACAAGUGACGAGCGCAGGAUUGGUUGCCUAGUUGUUUGUUUGGUGAAUGAGUCGAUCAGCUUAUUGGUUGGUAAGUUACCCAGCAGACCGGUCAUUUAGCUCGCCAGCCAGCCAAUUAGACAUUCAGUUACCUAGUCAGAGAAGCAGUCAAUUAACCGGUCAGUAAGCCUGCAAAUAAACCAAUCAGUCAUCCAGAUAGCCAAUCAGAGCCAGCUAUACAGUUGUUAAUGAGUCAGACAUUCACUAAACCAGCCACCCAUUCACCUAACUAAUCAAUCAAUUAACCAGCCAGUCAGUCAGGCAGUAAACAAGCAAACCAGUCGCUCAGCCACCUAACAACUUAGUCACUCAUCCUAACACAAAAAUACUCAGCCAGCGGGCCAGUAAAUCAGCAAUAUUCACCCACCUACUCCCCGAGUCAAUCACACACGCACCCACUCACCCAAACACACAUCUACAUAACCUCCAAACACACACACACACACGCACACACACCUAGUUAGUUAGUCAAGCACGAAAGCACUCACUUAUCUGGACACCUUCCACCACCUCUACCACACACACACACACACACACGCACACACACGGUUAGUGAAAGCACGACCCAUUACUUGCACAAAGAGGGAAGCAUGCAAAAAUAUGAGCGCCAGAUGUCCCUUCGCUAUGGAAACGAGCUGCCUGACGCCUCCUCCUCCUCCUCCUCCUCCUCACCCUCCUUGCCGCCUCUCAUGACUCGAUCCUCAGUGACCCAUGGACGUGAGCACCUGCCUGGAUUACUCCCUAUGUGUUGUUCUUAGUGCCCGGGAGGAGGCGAGAAGGAUUUCAUUG